AACAUCUCAAAUCGCCCAAGGGAGUGAUCCUUAAAUGUAUAUUCUCAUCCCUACCUAGCACGAGGCCUUUUGGAAGCUCACUGGCUUCGGGUUCUGUAGGAACUCUGAAGUUAAGCGAGAAGGAGGCCAGAGCACUCCCAGGAUGGGUGACCCACUGGGAAGUUGCUUGUGUGAGUUCCCAAAAACAAAACCGUGAGGGAAUGGUAAGCCCAAAGAGGACAAUAUCGUCCUACGGUGGUGGAUCGGGCUCGGAAUGUGGUGGACUCGGGCCGGGAUGUAACACCGAUCCUC
rnacentral:lncRNA from 1 species